AAGAUUUUCCCUUUGGGGCUCUCUCUUCAGCUGUGCGCUCUGGCUGCACGCUGUUGAAACCUCACACACCUGUGCACCAUUCGGUUGCAACUGGGCUUUGCCCAAUUGCUUCCGCUUUUCACAUCCAACCACUGUCUUGAAUGUCUAUUAUGAUAAAAUUAA
rnacentral:misc_RNA from 1 species